AGAGAACAGAGUUUACACAAAGGAGAGCAUCACUACACUGGGUUGCUAAGGUUACAGGAGAGAGUGUUGAAUGGCGUUGUGAUUCAUUUGUUGGGAGACGAAGACCCUCGAGUACGACACAUAGCCGCUGCUACUGUCAGCAGGCUGGUCAGUGUGUUGUUCUAUGAGUGUGACCAGGGUCAGGCUGACCCGGUGGUGGCUAUAGCCAGAGACCAGAGCUCUGUGUAUCUACAGUUACUGAUGCAUGAGACGCUACCGCCUUCACACUUUACUGUCUCUACCAUCACCAGGUAUGUAUAUAUACACACAC